CUGGAAGCUGAGAGUGUGUCUGCCCCUCCAGGUCUGCCUCCACCCCAAGAGGACCUCGUGGACGUGGUGCCUCAGGCUCCACCAUCCCCAGGAGAAGAGUGCCAUGCUUGGACUCGUUUUUGCUGUUUUUGGGACAGUGGUGCCAUUCCCCUCCCGUGACUGACUCCUGCGUGCAGUCCCUAAUCUGCCCAUCACCGCCGGGGCACUGUCCACAGCAUUCUGUUGAUUUCCUCCACACUGUCUAACACAACCUGAAACAACCUCAUCUGCCCACCACGUCUCAUCUGUGCCUCCCUGCCUGGAACGGAGCUGCAGGAAGGCAGCGAUGUUUGUCUGGAGGUUCCCUGUUCGCUGGUGCGGGUCUAUGAGGAGGAAACACACAGAAACCAAAAGAUGGAAUCAGGCUGUCUCGGGCCACUUCCUUCCGCCACAGCUCUGCCUGGAGUGCCAGCCCCAGCACAGGUGAAUACACAGAACCAGCGCCUCCCUCCUGGAGCUUUCCUGGGGAGACCAGUGAGGGUGAACAAGGAAGCGGAUAGAGAACUCCCCGCAGCGUAAGUGCAGUGGGGACAUUUGUGGCAGGGAGUGCCUGGGGAGGGUGGUCGGGGAAGGCUG
rnacentral:lncRNA from 10 species